AAGACCUUGCGCUUUUGGAGCGGCCGAUGCCUGAUUAGCUUGUUGGUAAGGUAAAAGCUUACCAAGGCUUCGAUCAGUAGCUGGUCUGAGAGGACGACCAGCCACACUGGGACUGAGACACGGCCCAGACUCCUACGGGAGGCAGCAGUGGGGAAUUUUGGGCAAUGGGGGCAACCCUGAUCCAGCCAUGCCGCGUGAGUGAAGAAGGCCUUCGGGUUGUAAAGCUCUUUCAGCCGGAACGAAACGGUUACGGAUAACACCCGUGACUACUGACGGUACCGGAAGAAGAAGCACCGGCUAACUACGUGCCAGCAGCCGCGGUAAUACGUAGGGUGCGAGCGUUAAUCGGAAUUACUGGGCGUAAAGCGUGCGCAGGUGGUUUUGUAAGUCAGAUGUGAAAGCCCCGGGCUCAACCUGGGAACU
rnacentral:rRNA from 1 species